UACAGAGGGUGCAAGCGUUGUUCGGAUUUACUGGGCGUAAAGGGCGUGCAGGCGGUUUGUUAAGUUCAGGGUGAAAGCUCCCGGCUCAACUGGGGAGAGGUCCUUGGAUACUGGCAGACUUGAGGAGGGUAGAGGAGAGUGGAAUUCCCGGUGUAGUGGUGGAUAUGCGGUAGAUAUCGGGAGGAACACCAGUGGCGAAGGCGGCUCUC
rnacentral:rRNA from 1 species